GCGGGUGUGGUGAAAUUGGGCAGACACGCCGGAUUUAGGUUCCGGUGCCUUAGUGCGUGAGAGUUCGAGUCUCUCCACCCGCA
rnacentral:tRNA from 1 species